rnacentral:rRNA from 1 species
CGGCGGACGGGUGAGUAACACGUGGGUAACCUACCCUGUACACACGGAUAACAUACCGAAAGGUAUGCUAAUACGGGAUAAUAUAUUUGAGAGGCAUCUCUUGAAUAUCAAAGGUGAGCCAGUACAGGAUGGACCCGCGUCUGAUUAGCUAGUUGGUAAGGUAACGGCUUACCAAGGCGACGAUCAGUAGCCGACCUGAGAGGGUGAUCGGCCACAUUGGAACUGAGACACGGUCCAA